rnacentral:rRNA from 1 species
GACGAACGCUGGCGGCGUGCUUAACACAUGCAAGUCGAGCGGUAAGGCCCUUUCGGGGUACGACGAGCGGCGAACGGGUAGAGUAACACGUGGGUGGACCUCGCCCUCCAGCUCUGGGAGUAAGACCUGGGAAACCGGGUACUAAUACCGGAUAUGACUCCAUGACGCAUGUUGUGGGGUGGAAAGCCUUGUGCGGCUGAGGAUGGGCCCGCGGCCUAUCAGCUUGUUGGUGGGGUGAUGGCCUACCAAGGCGACGACGGGUAGCCGGCCUGAGAGGGCGACCGGCCACACUGGGACUGAGACACGGCCCAGACUCCUACGGGAGGCAGCAGUGGGGAAUCUUGCGCAAUGGGCGAAAGCCUGACGCAGCGACGCCGCGUGA